UUUAAGAGUAUCGUUACCGUCGGAAGGAUUUCCAGAAACGCCUUAAGAACGAGGCGUGGCGUUACAUGAUUGGCUGGUAGGUAAAUAUAAAAUCGAUUUUUUUUUCUUCUCAUUUUUUUUUCUCCUUCCUCCCGACUCUCUCUCUCCCUUCUCUCUCGUUUCUGAAGGAGACAAAAACGGCGAUUGUUGAUGAAAUCGGAGAAAUCGGAUUCUCGUCGAAUCCUAUGAUUUUUCUCACUUAGAUCUUAUGGUUGGUUGUUUACCCGGAGGCGAUGGCAUCUAGAUCGGCGAAAUUGUUAGAUGCGACGGUUCGUUUGUCACGACAAACGACGGUGGAGGUUGCUAUAUGGUGGGACAAUGACGGCGGCUGUUUCUGGUGGUGCCCUGAAGCUAACGGCAAGGUCCAAAUCACAACUAAUCGAAGGGAGAAGGUUCGUUUCUCAUGUGUUUGUAAUUUGGCGAAAUCGUUAGAUGCGAUUGAUUGCAUGUGGUUGUAAUUAGGCUCGGGUGGUUGAUAAUUGGUAGAUUGGUUAAAUAUUUGUGUCGAUUUGACUUAUUAGGUGUAGAAUUUUAGGGUUUGUUUGAUGUUUGUGUCGAUUUGACUUUAUAGGUGUAGAUUAUGAGAUUAGUGUGGUUAAAUGUUUGUGUCGAUUUGUAUUGGUAGGUGUAGCAUAUGAGAUUAGUUUGUUGGAUUGCUUAAAUGUUUUGUUCUUAGUAAUCGAGUUGUUUUGUGCGAGUCUAGGGUUUGGUUAUAAGUUUUGUUCUUAAUAGCAUAUGUUAUUGUUUUGUGCGAGGUUUUCAUCAACUGGAUGUAGCGGUUCAAUGGUGACGUGAAGGGAAACAUGAAGUGGACACAACGGUUGUGUUUUCUCACUUGAAAAGGUUUUGCGACUUGUUGUUCUUGUAACUCGUUGUGACUUGUUGUCCUUUGUAACCCAUCAUCACGAGUUGUGACUUGUUGUCUUUUGUAACCCGUGAAUGGGUUUAGGUUUGGUUGUGUCUUUCGGAAGUCCUAUAUAUGACAAUGUUUUGUUCAACCUCAUUUGCUAUAUGUUCUUCUCAUUUGUA